ACGGAAACUUAUCUGCAGGCUUGCUAUAUUGGAGAUCCAGGACUAGUUGCUAUUGGGGAAGGCUGCAAUCUACUUAACAAUUUGAGCUUGCGCUUUGUUGAAGGCGCGACAGAUGAAGGCUUGAUUGGAUUAAUAAAGAGCUGUGGACAAUCACUGCUCUCUCUUGGUAUUGCUAAUUGUGCUUGGAUGACUGAUGCAUCUUUGCGUGCUGUUGGAUCCCACUGUCCUAACCUUGAAAUCCUGUCACUGGAAUCAGAACUUGUUAAGAAUGAUGGAGUGAUUUCUAUUGCUAAAGGAUGUCGCUUGUUGAAAAAUUUGAAGCUGCAAUGUAUUGGUGCUGGCGAUGAGGCCCUAGAAGCUAUUGGUUCAUGCUGUUCGUUACUAGAAAUUUUAUCGCUAAAUAACUUUGAAAGAUUCACAGACAGGAGCCUUUCUUCCAUCGCGAAAGGGUGCAAGAAUCUUACAGAUCUUGUUCUCAAUGAUUGCCUGUUACUAACUGAUAGAAGCCUUGAAUUCGUAGCACGCAGCUGCAAAAGAAUAGCACGUCUUAAGAUCAAUGGUUGUCAGAAUAUGGAAACUGCUGCACUGGAGCACAUUGGACGAUGGUGCCCGGGCCUUUUGGAACUCUCUCUAAUUUACUGCCCAAGGAUCCGGGAUACUGCAUUUCUGGAGCUUGGUAAAGGCUGCACCCUCCUCCAGUCUCUUUAUUUAGUUGACUGUUCAAGAAUAGGUGAUGAUGCUAUGUGCUACAUAGCUCAAGGUUGUAAGUACUUGAAAGAAAUUUCCAUUCGACGUGGUUAUGAGGUAGGAGACAAAGCAUUGAUAUCAAUUGCUGAGAAUUGUAAAUCACUUAAGGAGUUAACGCUCCAAUUUUGUGAGAGGGUAUCUGAUACAGGGCUGGCUGCAAUUGCUGAAGGUUGCUCUCUUCAAAAGUUAAACUUGUGCGGGUGCCAAUUAAUCACUGAUAAUGGACUGGCUGCCAUUGCGAGAGGAUGUGGUGAUCUUGUCUUUCUGGACAUAAGUGUUCUCCCGAUGACAGGGGACAUGGGGCUGGCAGAGAUUGGCCAAGGCUGCCCCCAGAUUAAAGACAUUGCACUCUCGCACUGCCCAGGGGUCACCGAUGUUGGUCUGGGACACCUGGUCAGGGGGUGCUUACAGCUGCAGUCAUGCCAGCUGGUGUACUGCAAGCGAGUGACCAGCACCGGAGUGGCGACCGUCGUCUCGAGCUGCUCUAGGUUGAAGAAGCUCCUCGUUGAGGAGGCAAAGGUCAGUGAGAGGACACGUCGGAGGGCAGGACCCAUCUUAUCAUUCCUCUGCUCUGGGCUUUAG
rnacentral:rRNA from 1 species